rnacentral:rRNA from 1 species
UACAGAGGGUGCAAGCGUUGUCCGGAAUCACUGGGCGUAAAGGGCGCGUAGGCGGCCACCGCAAGUCAAUUGUGAAAUCUCCGGGCUUAACCCGGAAAGGUCAGCCGAUACUGCAGGGCUAGAGUGCAGAAGGGGCAACUGGAAUUCUCAGUGUAGCGGUGAAAUGCGUAGAUAUUGGGAAGAACACCAGUGGCGAAAGCGGACUUCUGGGUUGUUACUGACGCUGAGGUACGAAAGCGUGGGGAGCAAACGGG